UCCCCGGUGGCCUCCGCGCCUCCUGCCUGCCUCUCUGCCUGCGCUGCCUGCUCGGCUCUGGGAGAAUGGCCGCUCUGAACAUUCUGUGGACAGGGCUGGCCCUGCUGGGGGUCCUGGGGGUCCUGCAGAUUCCAACCCAGGCCCAGGCCGCCCUGCAGCCCAACUUCCAAGAGGACAAGUUCCUGGGGCUCUGGUUCACCUCGGGCCUCGCCUCCAACUCGAGCUGGUUCCUGGAGAAGAAGAAGGCGCUGUCCAUGUGCAAGUCGGUGGUGGCCCCCGCGGCAGACGGUGGCCUCAAUCUCACGUCUACCUUCCUCAGGAAAGACCAGUGUGAGACCCGGACUCUGCUGCUGCGUCCUGCAGGCCCCCCAGGCUGCUACAGCUAUACCAGCCCCCACUGGAGCGGCAACCACGAGGUGUCGGUGGUGGAGACGGACUACGAGGCCUAUGCCCUGCUCUACACCGAGAGCUUCCGAGGCCCCGGCCAGGACUUCCGCAUGGCCACGCUCUACAGCCGCACCCAGGCCCCCACAGCUGAGAUCAAGGAGAAAUUCGCCACCUUCGCCAAGGCCCAGGGCUUCACAGAGGAUAGCAUUGUCUUCCUGCCACAGACUGACAAGUGCAUGGAGGAGAACACGUAGGUGAGUGGGGUGCUGGGGGCUGCCUUCACCCAGCGGUGCCCACCCAUGCGUUCCUUCACUCACUUGGUCGCUCGGCGCACGCUCCCCACAGCCCCACCCACCACGCAAGGCUGGUCCAGGCCCCUGGGGCUGCUCCGAGGAGGAGGGGGCUCCACUGGGGUUCCGCGAGGUCGUUGGGGUGACCCCAGCCCUCAGGACCUGGCCAUGCUGCCCUGCUCCGCCUUUUCCUUCAACACCCCCAAGACCCCAGCCCCAGCUCCUGCGCCACCGGCCCUGCCCCCUCGGGCUUUAUCCCAGCUCUGAGAAUAAACUCCGGAAGCAAGUCA